rnacentral:lncRNA from 1 species
CAAAUCCUAUGUCAUGAAGAUUUUCCCCUAUGUUUUUCUCUAAGAGUUCAAGAGGUCCUUGGUUAAGGACCUAUGGGGUCCUAAGGAACUAUGGGGAAUACUGGGUUAAAUAUAACUUAAAAGACUCUUUACUGUCCUUCUUCUCAGCCUUAUUAAUGUACAUGUUAGAGCAUUGGAAAUAUUAGAGAGGGGUCUAUAUUACCAACUGAUUACAGGGCCACAGAGGAGAGGGAUGAUAAAUCAGUGCUCCAUGAAAUUUCAGCCCAAGAAGCACUGCACCAUGUUGCCCUCUGGAUCAUUCUUACAUUAAAACUGUACAACCUUAAGAGGAAGCUGCUAUUGUUAUCUCUCAUUGAUGAAGAGGGAGCUGAGUCUUCUAGAUAUUAGUGAUUUGCUCACUCUCACCACUAAGUACAGUAGCCUGGCUCCAAAGUCCAAGGCCCUAAACUCUAUUCCUGCAGAUUCUCCUCUCUCACCUCAGUGUAGGGCUUCUGGCUAUUCUUCUCCCAAGACCACUAAUCAGGACCCGCUGGUGGUCCCAAGGAGCAGGCUGAGCCUCCUAUCUCCUUACAGAUCUUGUCUCCUUUAUAGUCCAUCUCUGGAUACCACUUUGCUCCACCAAACUGACUGCAGAAAGGAAAGCAGACUCCCUAUCCACUAAAGAGAAAUGAACAAAAGUCUACUUUGUACUAAGGCUUUAUUGUCGUCAACAGCUGAUGUCAGUGAAACAUUUACUAUGAACCUGGCACAGUGCUAAGCCCCAUGGGUUAUGACAUCUGCAGUUCUGCUGUGAGUUCCAGUUUGGACAUGUAGCCCAGUGACUCCUGCAUUACAACGACAGGCAGAAAGUUACCCAGAAAGCUUGUUGCUGUGAGCUUCAGAGCACACGCUUUUGUUACAGACACUCGGUGGAAAGAUGAUGUCCAGUGUUGUUACCCACGAGAUACCAAAGUGAGCAAAUUAUAUGGAAAUUGAAGAAUAGAAGUAUUCAAAGGUUUGGGUGAUUGGAUACUUAGUUUUCAUUCAAACCUUGUAGAACUGCCCGGUGUCUCUAAAUUCUGUGCAUGUGACAUAUUACCAGAAUUCAAAUUAAUUCUUGAAGUGAAUUGGAAGAGAAGAGGAUUUAGAAGAAGGUUCUGACCGGUCAAAGCCAGACGCUGCCAUGUGGAAACAUGGGCCUUGGAUAGACAAAGACAAGCCAAAAAUUCUGAUUUACACAUGAAACAUCAUGAUUUUUAAAUGGUGGCCAAUAAUUCAACAGAGACUUUAAAAGAACGUGAAGGCCACAAACAAACAUCCCAGGUCUGCGGGCCAUAUGCCCCUCAGGGUGCCAGGGUAACGCCUCUAAUAGUCAUGCUGAGACAACAUCCACAUUAGUUUCCUGGGGCUGCUGCAACAAAUUACCACAAACUUGGUGGCCGAAAAUAACACAGAUCGAAUCACUUGUUCUGCUGGCCCAAAGUCCAAAACUAGUUUUGUCAGAGGCAUUGAACCAGAACGACUCCAUCUUGAAGAGGGGCUGGGUGAAAUGAGGCUGAGAUCCGCUUGAGGCUGAGAUCUGUUCUGCCGCACUCCCAGGAAGUUAGGGAUUCUUAGCCACAGGAUGUUUAUGGUUAAGGGAACAAGUUAAUAAUGUUUACGCAGCCGACCCAGGACUUCACAGACCCAGGAACUGCCCCAAUGGCCCGA